GAGGAAUAUUGGUCAAUGGACGGAAGUCUGAACCAGCCAUGCCGCGUGCAGGAAGACGGCCCUAUGGGUUGUAAACUGCUUUUAUUUGGGAAUAAACUCCCCGACGUGUCGGGGCCUGAAUGUACCAAAUGAAUAAGCACCGGCUAACUCCGUGCCAGCAGCCGCGGUAAUACGGAGGGUGCAAGCGUUAUCCGGAAUCAUUGGGUUUAAAGGGUCCGCAGGCGGAUUUGUAAGUCAGUGGUGAAAUCCUACAGCUUAACUGUAGAACUGCCAUUGAUACUGCAAGUCUUGAAUUCGGUCGAAGUGGGCGGAAUAUGUCAUGUAGCGGUGAAAUGCUUAGAUAUGACAUAGAACACCGAUAGCGAAGGCAGCUCACUAGGCCUGGAUUGACGCUCAUGGACGAAAGCGUGGGUAGCGAAC
rnacentral:rRNA from 1 species